rnacentral:rRNA from 1 species
AUGUGGUGGGCCUUGGAGAAACGCAAAGUUCCAGCAAAGUACAUUACCCUCAUCAAGGACAUGUACGAUAAUGUUGUGACAAGUGUUCAAACAAGUGAUGUCGACACCGAUGACUUCCCGAUUAAGAUAGGACUGCAUCAGGGGUCAGCUUUGAGCCCUUAUCUUUUUGCAUUGGUGAUGGAUGAGGUCACAAGGGAUAUAAAAGGAGAUAUCCCAUGGUGUAUGCUCUUUGCGGAUGAUGUGGUGCUAGUUGACGAUAGUCGGACGGGGGUAAAUAGGAAGUUAGAGUUAUGGAGACAAACCUUGGAAUCAAAAGGGUUUAGGCUUAGUAGAACUAAAACCGAGUACAUGAUGUGUGGUUUCAGUACUACUAGGUGUGAGGAGGAGGAGGUUAGCCUUCAUGGCCAGGUGGUACCUCGGAAGGACACCUUUCGGUAUUUGGGGUCAAUGUUGCAGGAGGAUGGGGGUAUUGAUGAAGAUGUGAACCAUCGAAUCAAAGCCGGAUGGAUGAAGUGGCGCCAAGCUUCUGGCAUUCUCUAUGACAAGAGAGUGCCACAAAAGCUAAAAGGCAAGUUCUACAGGACGGCGGUUCGACCUGCAAUGUUGUAUGGCACGGAGUGUUGGCCGACUAAAAGGCGACAUGUUCAAUAG